UGCUGUCUGUGAAGCUGAAUCUGUGAGGAACACCUCACUAUUCACGGCAACCGGAGUGGAAGAAACAGGUGCAAAAAGACUGUGUGUUUGUCUGCUUUUGUGAGGCUGGUCAGAGAUUCUGUGCCUGCUUUAUCUGUGCUUGGCUAUGACUCUACCUCCAGGUUUACCAUACCCCAUAGAAUGUGUAAGAGAAAAGUACCAACAGGGAAAUCAGCAAAAAGCUUUCCUAUGAAGGUGUAGCCAGCCUCCGCAGAAUUUGAAAUGUCUGAGGUCUCAUCUGGUGAGUAAAAGCUGCAGAUAAAUGCAACAGCCAUUCAGAAGAAUGAUAAAUUCCACAAGCAUUCAGAAGCAGGCUUCCCUAAAGAUGAAAGAGAAGAUG
rnacentral:sRNA from 1 species